rnacentral:rRNA from 1 species
GAAACACGGACCAAGGAGUUCAACUGGAUUGCGAGUCGUAGAGGUGCAUCUACACUCAUAUUGGACGUAGCGAAAGCAAUUCAGUACCAACUAUUAUUUACGCAAUAAUAGUGCAGUACAUGCUGAUUGAGUAUAUGCAUAGUGUUUACGCAGUGUGCAUACCUUCAUAUACGCAUCUCACGAUGUGUGUCGAAGGAUCAAUCAAGCAAUAGAGUAAUUUAGUUGAGACCCGAAAGAUGGUGAACUUUGCCCGGACAUGGUGAAGUCAGGUGAAAACUUGAUGGAAGCUUGCGUUGUGCGGAACUGACGUGCAAAUCGUUGCCGCCUGAACUGGGUAAAGGGGCGAAAGACUCAUCGAACCAUCUAGUAGCUGGUUCCCUCCGAAGUUUCCCUUAGGAUAGCUCGAAUACAUUACAUUUAGAUAUUUACUUUAUCACAAAGUAACACAAGGGUAAAGCAAUGAUACGCGGUAUCUGUGGGUCUUUUUACAAUGACCUCGGCCUUCUCUCAAACUUUAAAUCUGUGCGACUCUAUCUCUGUAUUCUUUGAAGCAUUUACGCGUCUAGUGCGUAACUUCUGUGUGAUACGAUAGAUCAUAUUUAGUAUUCGUAGUGGGCCAUUUCUGGUAAGCAGAACUGGCGAUGAGGGAUUCAACCUGACGUUUGAUAAGAUAAGCCGGGCUUAAUCAUAUCUGCUCUAACCUUCCGAUAAACGCGA